rnacentral:rRNA from 1 species
CUCAGGACGAACGCUGGCGGCGUGCCUAACACAUGCAAGUCGAGCGAAGCUUUUAAAGUGGAUCCCUUCGGGGUGAAACAUUAACUGUCUUAGCGGCGGACGGGUGAGUAACGCGUGAGAAACCUGCCUUUCACAACGGGAUAGCCUCGGGAAACUGGGAUUAAUACCGUAUGACACUCUUUUCCAGCAUUGGAGAAAAGUUAAAGCGUAAAGCGGUGAAAGAUGGUCUCGCGUCCCAUUAGUUAGUUGGUGAGGUAACGGCUCACCAAGACUGCGAUGGGUAGCCGGCCUGAGAGGGUGAACGGCCACACUCGAACUGAGACACGGCCCAGACUCCUACGGGAGGCAGCAGUGGGGAAUAUUGGGCAAUGGGCGGAAGCCUGACCCAGCGACGCCGCGUGAACGAUGAAGGCUUUCGGGUCGUAAAGUUCUC